GUCAAACGCAGUUCUAACAGAAAAGGCCCUCAGAAAAAAACAGAGACACGGAUAUUGACUUUGAAGACUCAUCCCACUCCUGCACAGAUUAUGCAGAAGCAGAGCACAUAUGGUUCACAGCUCAUCAUCCAAUGGUCAACACCCUGAUUAAACAUUUCAGCUUUGUAUGGUAAUAUUUCUAUAUAUUAACCUCCUCUUUU